rnacentral:tRNA from 1 species
UAGGAUGUAGCAUAACUUAAUGUAUUUCACUUACACUGAAAUGAUACUUGUUUACAAGUCGUCUUAA